GUUUCAGCAGCCGCGGUAAAACGUAGGAGCCAAGCGUUAUCCGAAUUCACUGGGCGUAAAGCGCGUGCAGGCGGCCUGGUAAGUUGGAUGUGAAAUCUCCUGGCUCAACUGGGAGAGGCCGUUCAAUACUGUCAGGCUAGAGGGCGACAGAGGGAGGUGGAAUUCCGGGUGUAGUGGUGAAAUGCGUAGAUAUCCGGAGGAACACCAGAGGCGAAGGCGACCUCCUGGGUCGCACCUGACGCUCAGACGCGAAAGCUAGGGGAGCGAACGGGAUUAGAUACCCGCGUAGUCC
rnacentral:rRNA from 1 species